rnacentral:rRNA from 1 species
UACGUAGGGCGCAAGCGUUAUCCGGAAUUAUUGGGCGUAAAGAGCUCGUAGGCGGUUUGUCGCGUCUGCCGUGAAAGUCCGGGGCUCAACCCGACGUGCAGCGGGUGACGGGCAGACUAGAGUGUGUAGGGGAGACUGGAAUUCCUGGUGUAGCGGUGAAAUGCGCAGAUAUCAGGAGGAACACCGUGUGGCGAAGGCGGCAUCCUGGACCGGACUCUGACUGAGGCGCGAAAGCUAGGGGAGCAAACGGG